rnacentral:misc_RNA from 1 species
GAUGAAGAACGUAGCGAAAUGCGACAAGUAAUGUGAAUUGCAGAAUUCCGUGAAUCAUCGAAUCUUUGAACGCACAUUGCGCCCGCCAGUAUUCUGGCGGGCAUGCCUGUUCGAGCGUCAUUUCAACCCUCAAGCCCCAGCGGCCUGGUGUUGGGGACCGGCGACCUCGCCCGAGCCCGCCCUCCGGGGCGCGUGCCCGGUGCGUCCGCCGCCCCCGAAAUGAAUUGGCGGCCUCGUCGCGGCCUCCUCUGCGUAGUAGCACAACCUCGCAAGCGGGAGCGCGACGCGGCCACUGCCGUAAAACGCCCAACUUUUUUAGAGUUGACCUCGGAUCAGGUAGGAAUACCCGCUGAACUUAAGCAUAUCAAUAAGCGGAGGA